rnacentral:rRNA from 1 species
AGAUUGAACGCUGGCGGCAUGCUUUACAUAUGCAAGUCGAACGGCAGCACGGGGGCAACCCUGGUGGCGAGUGGCGAACGGGUGAGUAAUAUAUCGGAACGUACCCGGAAAUGGGGGAUAACGUAGCGAAAGUUACGCUAAUACCGCAUAUGCCCUGAGGGGGAAAGCGGGGGAUUCGUAAGAACCUCGCGUUUUCGGAGCGGCCGAUAUCGGAUUAGCUAGUAGGUGAGGUAAAGGCUCACCUAGGCGACGAUCCGUAGUUGGUCUGAGAGGGGCGACCGAGACCGACGACCUGGAACGUGAGACACGGUCCAGACUCCUA